rnacentral:rRNA from 1 species
AAUCAACGCUGGCGGCGUGCCUAACACAUGCAAGUCGAACGCGAAAGUGGAGCAAUCCAUGAGUAGAGUGGCAAACGGGUGAGUAACACGUGGGUGACCUGCCUUAGAGUGGGGGAUAACGUCCCGAAAGGGACGCUAAUACCGCAUAACAUGCUGCCUUUUAAGAGGUGGACAUCAAAGCCGGGGACCGCAAGGCCUGGCGCUUAAAGAGGGGCCCGCGCCUGAUUAGCUAGUUGGUGGGGUAAUGGCUCACCAAGGCAACGAUCAGUAUCCGGCCUGAGAGGGCGGACGGACACACUGGGACUGAGACACGGCCCAGACUCCUACGGGAGGCAGCAGUGGGAAUUGUUCGCAAUGGGCGCAAGCCUGACGACGCAACGCCGCGUGGAGGAUGAAGAUCUUCGGGUUGUAAACUCCUUUCGAUCGAGACGAAUGGCCCUUGGGCUAACAUCCCGAGGGAGUGACGGUACCGAGAGAAGAAGCCCCGGCUAACUCCGUGCCAGCAGCCGCGGUAAU